GACGAACGCUGGCGGCGUGCUUAACACAUGCAAGUCGAGCGAUGAAACUUCUUCGGAAGUGGAUUAGCGGCGGACGGGUGAGUAACACGUGGGCAACCUGCCUCAUAGUGGGGAAUAGCCUCUCGAAAGGGAGAUUAAUACCGCAUAAGAUUGUAGUUCCGCAUGGAACAGCAAUUAAAGGAUUUAUUCGCUAUGAGAUGGGCCUGCGGCUCAUUAGCUAGUUGGUGAGGUAACGGCUCACCAAGGCGACGAUGCGUAGCCGACCUGAGAGGGUGAUCGGCCACAUUGGGACUGAGACACGGCCCAGACUCCUACGGGAGGCAGCAGUGGGGAAUAUUGCACAAUGGGGGAAACCCUGAUGCAGCAACGCCGCGUGAGUGAUGACGGUCUUCGGAUUGUAAAGCUCUGUCUUUAGGGAAGAUAAUGACGGUACCUAAGGAGGAAGCCACGGCUAACUACGUGCCAGCCGCCGCUGUAACAC
rnacentral:rRNA from 1 species